rnacentral:ncRNA from 2 species
AAUAACUGCUAGGGGUAGUCGCGAGGCUUGAGAGAGACCCUUAUAACCUGAUUCGAUUAAGAUCGACGGAGGGAAGCGAAGGUAGAUGAGG